rnacentral:sRNA from 1 species
GCCGGGCGUAGUGGUACACGCCUUUAAUCCCAGCACUUGGGAGGCAGAGGCAGGCGGAUCUCUGUGAGUUCAAGGCCAGCCUGGUCUACAUAGUGAGUUCCAGGCCAGCUGGGCCUACAGGGAGACCCUGUCUCAAAAAGACAAAAAAAAAAAAAAAGAAAACGACUCCCUGUACCCCUAGCUGGCCUGGAACUUACAGUGUAGACCAGGUUGGCCUGGAAUUUGGAGAUCCACCUGCUUCU